UUCAGACAGGUGCCUGGCUAAAUAACAAGCCAGGUCUUCCAGACUACAUGGAGACAAGAGAGUCUACCUCAAUGCUUAAGCAAAGCAAAGCAAUAGCAAGUUCUCAAAGGAACUAAAGCGACUAUGGUACCUGAAAUCAAUCAAAUAUAAUCAGUAUCCCAAUCACAAAGUCAAAACAGACAAGUUAUGAACCAACAGUCAAUACAAUCAACCACAUGUGCAAAGCACAAACUCAAGGCAAGUGAGCUAACAUCCUACAAAACAAACCAAUUUAG
rnacentral:lncRNA from 1 species